UAGCCUAUGUUAGCUCUAUCUUCCUGGCUAGACCGUAGAGUCAGUGAGGACAGGGACUUCUUCCCUCCCACUAUGGUACCCAGCACAGUGAUUGGCAGGUAGGCUCUUGAUAAAUAGUCACAUGUUAAUGAGCUGAUGAUAUCUGGCAGUGCUAGAUACAGGCCGUUCAAAGCUGGAACUUUCAGAGGAUAUUUUGGGGUGCAAGUGGCAGAAAUACAACUCAAACUCAAAAAAACCUCAACUAAAAAAAAAAAAAGAACAGGCAAAAAUUGUUUCAUAGAACUGAAAAGUCCAGAGGUGUGGUUAAGUUCAGGAAGUACCUGCUGCCUGUUUGGGGUUUCUCCUGUCUCAGCUCUACGAGACGCCCCCUCGCUCCUGCCCAUCUUCAUGCAGAGACACUGAAGCCACCCCUCUUACAGCAAUGAUAGAGAAAUGGAAUUCCAAGAUUUUUUAAAGCUGUCUAACAUUCAGGUGCUCUGUGAGAUAGUUUUUCUGCAGUACCUUGUUUCAUCUCCACCAUAUCCUUGAGAGGCUAUUGAUAAGCAGUAUGACAUGCUCUGGUGAUGCCGGGCAGUGGCAGCCAGCGCAGCUCCCAGUCAGCCAUGUGAUCACCAGGAUAAAGAACUGAUACUCUACAGUGUACUGUACUCAAUAAAUGA